AGAAGAGCCAUAAGAGAAAUUAGCAAGAGCUGACUUUCAUCCCAGGGAGUGGAAGCAUGAAAACUAGGACUGUAGUGAGAAAGCCCAUGAGAUAAAGUUGAAGUAUUUAAGGCUGAGGGAAGUUCUGUGCUCAUGCAUUCAUGUUGAAUCUUUCUCCCCAGAGUUUUGAGGGGAGAGAUUCUGGAUCUUUUCUAUAGUGAGGAAAGAAAGUCUACUUCCUGCUGAAGAAAGGCACCUUACUGGCUUCAGGUCUGGAUAUAGCUUGUCUGCUAGAAGCAGGUCAUGAUCCCCUAUAGUAGCUCUGGAAUCUAUGCUGUAUUAGAAAAAAUGGUCCCGGAGAACUGGUACUUCAAUAAUUUGACUCAAAUAAAAUUGUAUGGCUUCUGAGUUUCCACAUCUAUUAUGUAAUUCUGUUGUUCCUUAAAUAUGGCCUUCUCUCUAGGGAGAUCACAUUUACCAAGGCCUAUUUCAAAAGAUAUAAAUCAAAACCCAGGAAUUGAAGAUAUAAGUCAAAACCUGGGAAACAUCUUUCAGUUGGGUCAAAGUCCCAGUGAAUUUGAGGAGGAAAGAAAUAAAUUAUCAGUCCUCUUGCUGCUGAUUCUUUGCUGUGGAAAAGCCUUUUGUUUACUCUGUUGGCAAUCACUGGAUUGAUUCAGAAAAAUUACACCUUUAAUUUCCCUUUGGAAAUAUUUGCAACAAUGAAGAGGAGAAUCUACUUUUCCUAAGCCUGACAGCCUCCUUGAUGUGUCUGUGAUUAAAGAACCACUGAGAAGCCUAAGUAGAUGCCAUUGCAAUUAGAGACUGUGGGAGGAGAGUGAAGACAGGCUGCAUCUUCUCCUUCCUCACAUCUUCUCAUUGGAUCCAGAGUGGAAAGAGGGCAGUUAGGACAUGACCAGCCUUGGAUGAGACUGUGAGCCAAUCAUAGGAAGAUUAUUAAAAUACCAUAGAAAAUAAAGAUGCAGAACAACCAACCUUUAUGUCAGGAUCUGCAGAUUACUUGCAUCAUUCUAUCACUUCUCAUGAAUUAUACACUAAAGCCCAUUAUAGAGGUACCUUGGUACUUAUUGUUAAUAAGUAAGACAAGUGUGCUGUGCUUCUUCCAUCUUUAAAAUGGGCAUACUAGUCCUCCUUUUGUAGGUUUGCUGUGAUCAUUAAGAGAGUCAAAUGCAUAUGAAGCACUUAAGAUAGGUCUAGAGCAGUGGUGGCGAACCUAUGGCACAUGUGUUACUUAUUUUUCUUUUAAGACAAAGGAUGUUAACGUACGAGUUGUUUUUUCUAAACUAAAACUUCAUUAUUCAAGUUUAAUUGCAGUAUUGACACUGCGAUAAAUAAGCAGGUUAUGGGUUGCAGUUUGGGCACUUGUCUCUAAAAGAUUCAUCAUCACUGGUCUGGAGGCAGUCUUGGAAUUAAGUACCAUAUAUGUAUUUCUUGUUGAAGUACAGUAGAGAGUGAUGUUAUUUGUGUUGCAUGCUGGAAUAAAUGGGGAAUAUGAUUUUCUAGUGUCUAUAGGGGGCUUGUUGAAAAAUUUCUGGUGUAUUAUGUAAUUAAUAUAUGUAAAAACACAAACAAGAAAAGCUUCUUUAAAUUUACAUAAUAUAUUCACAUAAAAUAAUUUUUAAAAUGCAACGUAAAAUUGCACUUAUCUGUCAUGGUGGACAGAAAUCUUUGCAAAAAUGGUUGGAGGUAAACAGUUCAGGAACUUUGCUUAAGGGCCUUAAGGGUCAAAAUAACAAUUAUGAAUUCAGGAAGUUUUUAGAGGGAGUCAUUUAAAUCAUGCCUUAAGAGAAUUUCAAUCAUUGCAAGGUUUUCAAAUGGUAGUUUAAAGAAGAUUGAAUAUUCUGGCCAUUAUGAAGAGGUAGAGGCCCUCACACCUCUUGGCCACUUGGAGCUUGCUUUUGACCUGUGCUGGCUGGCCAGAACUCGGCAGUUUGCAAGCUCUCCCAUACACCACUGCUACUUGAUAUAUGAGUGAGACAACUGUUCCUUUUCAAAAGCACAUUACUAAAUUAUCUUGGUCCACAAAGGAGGACCCAAACUGGGCCUUUGUAGGAGGAACUAUUUGAGGCCCUUUCUGAGCAGUCACUUCACACUGCACAAACGGGCAGAGGAAAGGGUGGCUUGAGCAGCUAUGGCUCAGAACAGCAGCAGGGAGGACAUUAGGCAAGGACCCAUUUAUAGGGGAUUGUGCUGGCCAGGAGCUACCAGAUGAGGCUGUAGGCCGAUUUGUCUCUCUGAAACCUGUACCUGAGCUGCUUUCCUCCAGUCAACUGCAGUCCAGAAUUAAACUGAGCUUGUUUUCCUUACCCUUCCUCACUAUGCAGUCUGAAGAGCUCCAGUGGAUUUUUUAAAAUAUGAAAUUAAAUCUUCUCUUGCCCCUAUCUGAAUAAUUCUAUGCUUCUUAUUAUUGUUUCCCUGCCGUGAACUCAAGGAAGAACUGCAUGUUCCAGCCAAGCCUAAUGAUUGUUUUAUAAAUAUUUAUAAGUCAGUUACUAUCUUCCUUUCUUUCUUCCCCCUUCCUAGCUAUACAUUAUUUGAAGGCCCAUUCUUCCUUUCCUAGGAGCUCUUUGGCAUUUUUCUGGGCUGGGAGAGUGUUCUGGGUUUGACAUUUUUCUUUGAUUUGCUUGCCUGUAUGUUGGGAGUAUUUGUUGAGAAGCUUCAUCCCGAAGUAUUUAAAGUUGGCUUCCUGAGGCUACCUCAUUGUUCACAUGUGCCAAAACCGAACCUAAGCCUCUAUGUAGAGAUUUAUGUUCUUCUGCAGAAGAGAGAACCUAUUUAGCAAAUUCAUUUAUCAACAGAGGGAACUUCACUCUCAUUCUCUGGUUAUCUCUGUAUCUUUUGUCUAUUUUUAAAAAUAGAUCAGAACUGGUGAGGGUAGCGAAAGUGGAAAAGUCAAGCAUUGAAACCAAUGACCAGUUGUAUGUAUCAAGUCUUGUUCCUGGAAAGACUGUUCAUUUUCUGGCAAUGAAUGGCAUCCCAUCUAUGGAUUUUGAAAGCAUGCCCAAGUGGCCAGAGCCCUCAGAAAGUGAUGCCAACCUAAUCAGAUGGAGUUAAAUGUUCCAGAAAUAUUGUAGAAGAUUGAUUUCCUUUUAAAAUUCUAAACAUGGAAUUAGUAUAGGCGGUAAUUGCUAAAUAAAUGUAGGCAUAGUAUCUGGUACCAAUAGGGUCUCGUGCUGAUUAUGAUGGGAUAAUGUCAAAGCAAGGGAGGGCACUAUGGAACUGAUAGGUCCUUCAGAGUGUCUCCACCUUAACCAGAACUUGAUUUCUUACUUGGCAGAUGUGCCUGGAGCCAUGACUAUUGUAUUAAGAUCUUCCAGGGAACCAAUCAAUGGGGAUUUGCUUUCCCAUGCUACUUUACUGGGAGAACUGUUAGGCAACAGGGGUGCAUAAUCUUCAUAAUAGUAACAUCACCAGAAGAACAGCAUCAACAGUAAGAGUAGGAACAUGUCAAGUUUCUACUUUGUAUAUGCAAAGGGCUUAUCUUAUGUUCUCUCAUUUUACAAUGAUGCUGGGGAAACACUGUACUCAGAUAAAAAUAUUUGGGCCAAAUCUCUAAGAGACAAAGAAACUGGGACUUACAGAGACUAAGUAAAGUGCUCAGGGUCAAGGAAUGACACAGCCUGGACGGACUUGAGACGUCUGUCUCAGAGCUGGUGCUCUGAAGCUCAACAGUAAGCACUUCCCAAGAUAAGGAAAUGGACCCCAGGGAACAGUAGAAAGAGCUAUUCACUGGUCUCCAUUUCCACAUCUGAUAAAGAUGAACACUUUGAGGUAUCUUCUGAAAUUUUCAGUGAUCCUAUGAAGUCUUCUCUAUGUGGGAUUCUGUGUUCCUCAGAGGCCUCCAAUGGAGAAGAAGGCAAGAACUAGUCCUUAGAAUAAUCUAUGGAGAAAGAGACAAACAAGUAUAUCUUACCUGGACUUAUCUGAGCCUCCAUGAACCAAGUCCUGCAUUUGAAAGGAUUGCAUAGAGCUUUCCCAUGUAAGUCAUGUGUAAAGACAUACAAGCUUUCUACUUGCUACAAAUUAAGGCCAAAAAUCCUGGAAUGAUAUAUACCAGACCAUAUAGAGGACUCCAUGCCAGCAAACUGCCAACUCACAAACCAUAAGCCCAGCAAAGUUCCCCAGCAAAGCACUCUCUGGUCUCUGUGUACAGGUAUAGGAAAGGGGACUAAAAAAUUUUAUCAAGUUUUGAAAUCUAGGUAAAUCAAAACAAAUAAGGGCUUCGUUGAAUUAGGUCUAGUAGACUACUUAAAUGUGGGCUAAGUGGCCUGGUAUGGAGUAGCAGUUUUCACACUUACAUGUUUAACAAUAGAACUCUUGGAAAACAAAAUCUCAAAUAGAUUUUUACUCUGUUUAUGAGAUAAGAUGGGAGUUUCUCAGAUUUUAUAGGAGGGAUGCCCUCCUCCCCCAAUCACCUCUGUUCCCAAUACCACUGAGGCAGCUCCAGAACCCCCCUGAGAUUUAUAAGCUCCCUUCUAUAUUUUGGGAGAACUCUAUAUUUACAUUCACAUUCAGUAAAUUUUGAAGACAAGUUUUAAAGUAACAACAAAUUACAGUUUAAUCAAAUUAAUAUAUUGUUUUAGUGAUACAGAAUUUAAAUUGGUCAAUUCCAAGUUAAUGAUGUUUGGCUGAUUUUAUGUACUACAAGUAUGAUAGAAUUUGAAAAUAAAGCUGUUUAUAGUAGAGCUUUUCAAAUAUUCACAGAAUAGGUAGACUAUUUAAUGAAUCUCUAUGCAUUAAUUACCAGGUUUCACUAGUUCUCCCCCAUUUUUGUCUGUCUCAAAUUCUCUUCUCAUUUUUUUCUUUAGUGUAUUUUAAAGCAAAUCCCAGACACUGUUAUUUCACCCAUACAUACUUCAGUAUUCAUUUCUAAGAAACAGCACUUUAAAAAAAAACUACAUGUCAUUAUGAUACCUGACAAGACUAAUAAUACCACUUCAAUACAGUUGUGAUAUUUUAAUUUUUGAAUUUUAAUCUAAUUAGUGUUUUUCCAAAUAUAUUUUGAAGAAUAUUCAUUUUGAUAUACACUAGUAUUUUUAGAUUAAAGCAUUUCAUGGUCAAAUUAUUCCUGCUAUAAAGUUAAAUUCUCCACCUACAAGACUUCUUAAAAUUUGCAUAGGUUAAUUUCCAUGAGACUCUCAAAGAAAGGAGUAGGAUAUCAGAAAGUUUGAAAUUUAUUUGACUACUAGUACAUUAGUUUUUCAUGGAGUAUGAGACAGGACAAGGGUACUACAUAAUAUAUUGGUGUAGAAAGCAGAUUACAAUCCCUGGAGUGUACAUUUUCAAAGAAACUUCACAUCCAUAUCCCUUAGAAAAGUAAGGACCCAACUUUACUCUCACUGGGCAGUAACUGUAGAUGUUGGAUGGAUACUGAUUGUCAUAAUACCAGGCACCAAAGAUGCUGCUGGAAAGAGGUCUGCAAUCUAAUUAUCACCAGCUUGAGCCCUAAAUUACUAAUCAUCUAUUACUCUAUCAGUUCUGUUCACUUUCACAUGUUGCUUGCUUGCAGAAGUUCAAGACGGGGGUUAAAUAACCACGUGCUCCUAGCUACUGGCCAUAGCUAUCACAUGGUCCAGUCUCCAAGUUGGGGGGUGGAUGCCAUGUUGAAACUUCACAUUACCUUAAGCUCAUUAUAAUUUCAUUGUGAUGAUUUAAAAAGCACAUCCACUGGCACCAGGACAGAUCCACCAUGAUGCCCCAAAUUAGUGAAGAACAGAGGUAGUAUCCUGAUCCCUGGAUAUCUUCUCCCCUUUCUGUCAAAAGUUCUGAUGACAGUACGCAUAUCACACCCCCUCAUAACCCAGCCCCAGUAAAAAAGAAAAAAAAGAGACCCCAGACCUGCUCCAGGAGAAGACUCCCAAAGAACCUGAGGUCUUCUUUUCCAUACAUUGAUGGUUGGGUAAAAUUUCCCUGCCUGUUCCUCCCAGUAGAGAUCUUCUUUCCAGGAGGUAUACGAUGAAAGUAAACUUGGGCAGGGCCUGGAAGGUUAAGUAGAAGAGAGGAAAAUAUCUGGAAUACGACUGAAUAACACAGAUAAGAAUACAAGGCUCUGAAUGAUAAUGUUUUUAGGAAGCAGUGAGACAGCCCAGGCAGGCUGGGGAGAGGUGGGAAGUGAGUCCCGAUAGAACGUGGUGGUAUGAUGUCAAACUAUUUGAGAGCAGGGACUGUAGCUUUUAUAACACCCUUCCAAAUAUAUAACUUAAACACAGAAGGCCCAAAUAAACAGAUGUUUAUAUAUUGAAUUACACUGAAUAUAAUGAGCCAUAUAUUUAUGUAUCUCAGAAUAAAUUCAUUGAACAAUGACAUAGCAUUUUACCUUUUAUAGGAAAGACCCUAGGUUUGUGGACUGCAGGAAGUGAGGAAAGAAAUAAAAGACUAGAAACACGGGAUAUCUGGGGGCAGAAGUUACCAAAAUAGAGCUCUGUAAUGAUAAUGAUAGCUGGAGAAUUUAGAGGAAGGGCUGAAUUGGUAAAACAAGAGCCUGAGGGCAUUGAACUUCUCUGGGACAACAAGGCAAGAAGAAAAGAAGAUUAUCAAAGAGAAGUAGAAUGUCUUUACUUGAGUAGAAAAUGGAAUUUUAUUUUAAAGAGGAUUUGGGGUUUUAGAAUAGGUCCUGCCAUUAAAUAAUGUACAUCAUCUAGAGCUUUGCUACUCAAAGGAUUGCUCCCAAGCUGGUACAAAUCCUCAAGUUGUGUUUCUCAUCAGCAAUGAAUAAAUAUUAGAGUUGUGGGAAAGCCACAUGAACUGACUAGACAUCCAAGCAAGUGAUUAUUUUCUAGUAAUUAACAUUUAUUUCAUUUUUACAAAUGUAUCAACUUAAAUAAUGUUAACAAAACAAUAGUGUUUCACCACAGAUGGGUUGAGAAGUAGAAUCUAGAGAUAAUUCGCACAUGCUUUUAGGAGUAUGUCUUCUCUCUCAGCCAGUUUUUUGUUCUGUAUUAAAACAAGUAAUCACUUCUUUGUUAGAGAGAAAGCUGGUUUGCACCUAUAAGAUGGCUGUUUAAUUAGGUUAUGCAUCAAAUUGUUAGAAGUCAUACUUGGCAUAGGGAGGUGCUCCCACUUGGAGAAACACAGACAACAACUGGGAGAAACUGGAGUUACCCCAUUCAUUCCCACUGAGUAAAAUAACAGGAAGAAUUCUCAGCCUUGGACAAAUUAUUGUCUCAUUCUAUCUUGCUUUCCUACUUCCCAUUCCAUCCUUUAUAUUGGCCACAUGCACUUAAUAUUUUGCCACUACACAAUGUGACUUCAUUGUAUAGGAUCUUUGUUCACAAAAUACUCUAGCAUUUUCUUUUUUGAUGUGUUCAUCCUAACAGAAACAAAGGUAGGCAUAAGCUGCCACCACUAUCCCAUUUUAGAGAAGAAGACACUGAUACACAGAGAAGAUACCUUUGGAACCCACAUCUUCUGAUUGCCUGCUAAGCGGUCUUGACUUUUGGCCAAAGUAGGAAGCAGCUGGGCACAGUCUCAUAGGUUCCAAAGUACUUUAAAACUGUAAAUGAAGCAGUGUGUGGAGCCAGUAUGGAAUCUGGCAGAAGCUAGAAGGCUCUCACCAAUGGCCAAACACAGGCACCCACCCAGUCUUGAACUUUUAAUUUCAAAAACUGCAAGGAGAGAGGACAUCGCUAUCAAAUUCCUUGUGCAACAUCUAAAAGUCCUUAUUAUAACAAAAUCUGGUCAUUAUAGCUUUUAACUACUGGAUACUAGGCACAAUUAAAAGGAAAAAAAAAGACUCUCACAGGGCAUGUUCCCAGUCAUUUACAAAUUCCAUGCACACAUCAAGUAACUACUGAAGUGCAACUGACAAGAAAAUUGAAGACAGAUUGGAUAAUAAAAGAUACUGAGGAAAGAUAAACAUGGACCAUUUACUUUGGUCAAUAAUUCACUGACACAAAGCUAUUGCCACAUUUAAGUUAUAUUACCAACUAGGAUGUUUGGUGAGUUGAAAUAUUUGCUUUAACCAAUAUUUUAGUUGAUAUAGGUUGAAUUAAUCCUUUACAGUUCAAUUAUUUGUUUAGUAGCUUGGAGGGAGAUUUUCUCAGCAGAGCAUGAUCCCUAUUAUUUUUCAAUUUUUAAAACUCAUUUCCUUUUUUGUCUUAAUUUUUUGCCUACAAAUGCCAUUAAAAUGUGAAAGAAAAGUGGUGAUAGCGGCAUAUUUUUACUGACUUUAAAGGAAAUGCUUCCUAUUUUAUCAAGUAGGAUGUUUCUUUAAAUUUGAGGAAGAAUAACAAAGUGUCCUUUUUUAUCCCAGUUUGCCAAGAAACUUUUGUGAAUGGUGUUAACCUUAAUGCUUUUUCCUGUAUCUAUUUAUAUGAAUAUAUUGGGUUUUCUCUUACUAUGUAUUGACUGUGUAUGCAUAAAUAUACUUUUGGAGAUUGAACCAUCCUCACAUGGCUGGUACAAGGCUGAUUUUCACUUACUCUUGGGUAACAUCUCUUGUCAGUUUCCCUAAGAUCAUAAUCAAUAGCCUGGUCCUAGUUAAAUUUCAUCUAGUUCUUUGAGUAAUUUUUUUUCAUACAUCAAAUAUGAUAUUUUUUUCUCCCCUGACUAGUCUUCCAUGCUUUUCUUUCCCCCAACACACCCACUUUGUCAUAUUAUGGUCUACUACACUUAACACUUUCUUGGAGAAAGUUUAUUUAGAUAUACCCUACUCCUUAGAACACCCACUACUAGUCCUUUGAUAGCACUUAGAUUAAAUUGUGAUUACAUGUUUAAUUUUGUUCUUAUCUAAAAUAUACUUUACACUCAGUGGGAGAAGAUAUUAGAUGUUUUUCACUAAACUUUCCUCUAUAUCCCUAGAAUACUAGAAGAAAUCCAUAAAUGUUGAAGGGUGGAAGGAAGGGAAGAAAAAAUGAAAGGAAGGAAGGAAGGAAAGGAAGAAAGAAAGAAAAGGAAAGAGAAUCUGGAGUGGGAAAGCAAGACCAUCUUCAACACAAAUUUCUGUGUGUCACCCUUGUGAAGAAUUGCAAGGCACUAUUCAUACUCAGCAUUCCAAAAAUUACCAUUUUACAGUAUGAUUCUGGCAGUUCCAGUACAGACUCUGCAACAUACAUACUCUGAUGUUAAAAUGCCAGCAGCACUGAGAUUCUUGGAAAGUCCUAGAGAACAGAGGAAGAAGAAAACAUGUGGAAGAAAAGAUAAGAAGAGCAGCAUUACUUCUAGGACAACCCUAGUGGGGAUAAAAGUCAGAAGUGCUGAAAAUAAGCAAAAGAUGAGCUUGUUUCUUGUCCUUUUUCCAGGCAUAUAAAGUAAUAUUUCAGUGCCAAUAUUAUGUUUUCCUUCCUUCCUACUCCAUUCUUCCUUCUCACCCCUUGGUUUAUGCUGCCAUCAGUUCAUGUCAGUGUCCUUGUCUUCCUGUCCCUGUUUAUCUUCUUCCUGGGAAUAUUCUCAUGCACUUCCUUCUCCCUCCUCACUUCAGCCAAGUUCAUCAAUUUGACUCCCCUGUGAAUCCCACCUUCAUAACAUAACAGGAAGUAUAUCAAAUACACUAGAUCGAACCAUUGGAGUGAUUCUGCCUCAGGUUUCUUUCUUUCCCAAAAGACACAGGUUGAAAGGGAUCUUGCAUAUUCUUGCAAUCCAGCCUUGUUUCUCAUCGUAUUUGGAUCCAGCCACUUACACAGGCUUCUAAAUGUGAGGAAAUCUCCCUGGUUUUUCUUGUCUUUGUUCUUCCAUUCUUGUCAUCUACUUGGUUACAGUAUCCUGACCAGAUGCUGAAUUUCACUGACUCUUCAUUGGCUUGAAUACAGUCUUUAAACGUUCCUAGUCUUUUCAUUCACCUCUGCCCCUCCCCCCACUACUUUGACCUUAUUCUUUUGUAAAU
ensembl:lncRNA